rnacentral:tRNA from 2 species
GGAGAGGUGUCCGAGUGGUUUAAGGUGCACGCCUGGAACGCGUGUAUGGAUUAUGUCCAUCGCGGGUUCGAAUCCCGCUCUCUCCG